CAGAUCAGAGCCACCUGGCGUGUUCCACCUGAGACCCCUGAAGGAGUGGGAGACGGACAAACCAACACGAAGAGACCGGACAGCCAGCCUGUGGGAAGACGUGUCAGGGGUUGAGAGCGCUGGGGGUGAGGGCAUAAAAAGUUGUGGCAAAUACUUCUCUAAGUGUGGGAGAGUAAGUCAGGAGCAGCGCUGCCAGUUAGUUACUUGGCCAUCCUGUACAUACUGAACAAGCACUCGCUGUAAUACAGAGAACCAGCCGCCCGCGUUCCAGAGUGAAGUGAUUUGGCUGCAUCUCCAAUUGUGGUAUUUUCCAUUUGUCAAAGUCAAAGCUAUCCCUUUUGUUGAUUAAUUCUGGAGAAAGUUGAAGUCUUUGUACUCCUGUGAUUGACGUGGUGCCUGACUCUGCCAGAUUUUGCCUUGGAUAUGCUGCAAGACAGAGUUUUGCCAGGUUGCUCAGGCUGGUCUCGAACUUCUGGGCUCAAAUCCUCCUGCUUCAGCCUCCCAAAGUGCUGGGAUUACACCAAGUAUGAGCCACUGUGCCUGGCCUGUUGGGGGUAUUUUGGAGAAGACAAGUGGAAGAGAAAGUAAGGUCAACCUUCACAACUGGCUUGUGGCCUAAUAAAGGCUGCUCCUGAGCAAAAGUGAGCCAUGCUCAUUUUUGGAUAUAUGGAUAGUAGAGAUAUAGGGGAACACUUGGAAGGACUUGGAUACUGACUAAAUUCUCAAUAGUAAUAAAGAAAUUUGCAGAGGAAGUGAGAGUCUUCAUCCUUUUGUGACUCCUCAAAGGGUAAAGGAUACUUAAUACAUGCUGUUGACUGACCCUUCAUAGUGGUGGGAGGAAUGAUUAAAGUACAAUUUAUGUGUUUCAACUCUCACAGAGAAAACAAAUACAGCAGAUAAACUAUCAGCCACUUAUCUUUUCAUGGUAACAUAAAAUGAAAUAAAACAAGAGUUCCUUCUAGAAAACAUUUAUACUCUGUUCCCAGUGAUAAUAGUUACAAGAGCAAGUAAAAAUGGUUCAUGUUAAUAAAAAUAUGUAACUGUAUCGCAACCAGAGCUCUGAAAAAUUCAAGACAUUUUGUGGAAAAAGACCCAAAAGAGAUAUUUACUAUAGUAUCUGAAGUAAAAGCAAAGCAUUAAAACAAUCAAAACAUCUUCCAAGCGAAUCAAAUGGGAGUCAGCUAAUUUCAUGUUACUUCAUAUCAAUAAGGAAAAAUACAUUGGAAACCCCGUAUACAAAGUAAACACUGAUAUUGUCAACAUGAAUAAAAUAGCUCUUAACUGUUUCCAACUUUGCCUCUAAAAUUCCUUUGGCCUGAGGGCAUAACAUAUUAUUUCCUUUCUUCUACUUUGUGGGAAGUAACACACCCAUUUCAAUCUUUGUCACUUUUUUCCGAAUAUCAACAUUCAUGGGAAGAAUUAUUUGGAGCUGCUCUGAUGAUCCUCCCUAGAUUGAUACCACAAUCAGAUUCAGAAACUGUAUGGCAGUAGGUCUCAAACUUUAAAAUCAGAAUUACUUGGAAAGUUUCUUAAUAUUCUUGGGUCUUUCCCAGAUACAGCAAUUCAGCAAGUCUGGUGAAGGGUUCAGGAAUCUGCAUACCUAACAAAUACCCAAUGUAAUUCUAAGACGGGCUGUCCAUAGAUCAUUCUUUGAAACACUCUGGUUUAGAGUUACUGGAGUAAUUUUCAAGUCUGCUUUCCAAUGGGGCAUAAGUUUUAAUCUCUCUUUUCUAUAAUGCCCAUUAACAGGGGUAAGAAAGAUUAAUAGAUAAAUACAGGAAUGUAUAUAUGACACAGCUUUCAUGACCUUUCCAAAAUACAUGGCUUAUUCAAAAUCCAACUAAUCAAAAAAAUCAAAUAGCUAGAAUUUUUAGUUUUAUCCUAUAAUAAGUGAGGGUCAUUAUGAAAUGAGGCAAUGUAAGUUUGUGAAUUGUUUCCUAAUUCAUCAAAGAUUAAAUUAAGCUGCUUAUAGUGUCAGUGCUAUAAUUUUCUGAAAUUAUCUUUUAAUUCAGUUAUAACUCUUAGGUAACUGUGAUAUUAAAUUUACCAGGAUACAUUUUUAAUAAUUAUUCCAGGUAAAUAGGAAUUCACUGUACCAACCUAAUACUAGAAUAUCAUAUACUUUAUUAUAUCAAAAUAUAAAGUCAAAUUUUUUCUGACAUUAUGAAAAUAAUAUGCCUUCUCUACACAUUUUAAUUACACAGAGACUAUUUCUUCGACCAAUAUCUAUAUAGGAUAAGCUUCUGUUUUAUAACUAAGUUGUGUUUUAAGUACAUUGAGCUGUCCUUGGGGAAAACCAAGAAAAGCAAUUUUGAUUUUUCCAUGUUAUUAAAGCAUAAUAGAACAUGAAAAUGACAAAUUGUUAUAUAAUUAGAGGUUUAUUUAGAUAUAAUACAAUGUAAUUUUUGAAAAUGUGCUUUUAUUUCAAUGUGAUGUAUUAAAAUGUGGCUAAUAUUAAAUGUAGAACAAUGUAGAAUUCAUAAUGACGGAUAACAGAGUAAGUGGCCAAUCUGCACGGCUCAUGGCUAGUUCCUUGAGGUUGCAAAUGGGAUUCAACAACCCACAUGGCUGCUUAUAUAAAUAAUCACUCUUGCUGUCUGCUUCUCUCGUUUAUAUUGCUCCCUAUUAUUUUCUAGGGACGUCGCCAUACAACCAAGCCAUAUUGUUACAAGAUGUAAUCACAUGAAUUAAUUUUUAAGACUCCUAUGGUUAAACAAAUAUUACACUAGCUUAUAUGUUUAGAGGAACAUUACGGAACAUUUUAAUAACACAGGACUAAUUAUAG
ensembl:lncRNA